AUUGAACGCUGGCGGCAGGCCUUACACAUGCAAGUCGGACGAGUGGCGGACGGGUGAGUAAUGCAUGGGAACGUGCCUACUAGUGGGGGAUAACUGUCGGAAAGGGCCGCUAAUACCGCAUAUCAUCCGAUGUGCCCACUUUGGAUUAGCUUGUUGGCGGGGUAACGGCGCACCAAGGCGACGAUCAGUAGCUGGUCUGAGAGGAUGACCAGCCACACUGGAACUGAGACACGGGCCAGACUCCUACGGGAGGCAGCAGUGGGGAAUUUUGGACAAUGGGCGCAAGCCUGAUGCAGCCAUGCCGCGUGUAUGAAGAAGGCCUUCGGGUUGUAAAGGACUUUUGGCAGGGAAGCGUUACCCGAAGAAUAAGCACCGGCUAACUCCGUGCCAGCUGGCGCGGUAAUUC
rnacentral:rRNA from 1 species